rnacentral:rRNA from 1 species
AGUGAACGCUGGCGGCAGGCCUAACACAUGCAAGUCGAGCGGCAGCGGGUCCCCGCGAGGGGAUGCCGGCGAGCGGCGGACGGGUGAGGAACACAUCGGAAUCUGCCUGGUUGUGGGGAUAACGGUAGGGAAACUUACGCUAAUACCGCAUGCGACCCUGAGUCGACGGACUUGGGGUGAAAGUGAGGGACCUUCGGGCCUCACGCGACCAGAUGAGCCGAUGUCGGANAGCUAGUUGGCGGGGUAACGGCCCGCCAAGGCGACGAUCCGUAGCUGGUCUGAGAGGAUGAUCAGCCACAC